GACGAACGCUGGCGGCGUGCCUAAUACAUGCAAGUAGAACGCUGAAGAGAGGAGCUUGCUCUUCUUGGAUGAGUUGCGAACGGGUGAGUAACGCGUAGGUAACCUGCCUUGUAGCGGGGGAUAACUAUUGGAAACGAUAGCUAAUACCGCAUAACAAUGGAUGACACAUGUCAUUUAUUUGAAAGGGGCAAUUGCUCCACUACAAGAUGGACCUGCGUUGUAUUAGCUAGUAGGUGAGGUAAUGGCUCACCUAGGCGACGAUACAUAGCCGACCUGAGAGGGUGAUCGGCCACACUGAGACUGAGACACGGCCCAGACUCCUACGGGAGGCAGCAGUAGGGAAUCUUCGGCAAUGGGGGCAACCCUGACCGAGCAACGCCGCGUGAGUGAAGAAGGUUUUCGGAUCGUAAAGCUCUGUUGUAAGUCAAGAACGGGUGUGAGAGUGGAAAGUUCACACUGUGACGGUAGCUUACCAGAAAGGGACGGCUAACUACGUG
rnacentral:rRNA from 1 species